UAAGGAAUAUUGGUCAAUGGGCGCAAGCCUGAACCAGCCACGCCGCGUGAAGGAUGACGGCCCUAUGGGUUGUAAACUUCUUUUCUACGGGGAUAAAUCUCAUUACGUGUAAUGAGUUGAAGGUACCGUAGGAAUAAGCAUCGGCUAACUCCGUGCCAGCAGCCGCGGUAAUACGGAGGAUGCAAGCGUUAUCCGGAUUCAUUGGGUUUAAAGGGUGCGUAGGCGGGAUGGUAAGUCAGGGGUGAAAGCCAACAGCUCAACUGUUGAAUUGCCUUUGAUACUGCUAUUCUUGAGUAUGUUUGAAGUGGCGGAAUGUGACAUGUAGCGGUGAAAUGCGUAGAGAUGUCACAGAACACCGAUUGCGAAGGCAGCUCACUAAGCCAUUACUGACGCUGAGGCACG
rnacentral:rRNA from 1 species